GUCCUCAUCACUGUCCACAUCAGGUGGAUCAUCAGCUUCUUCUUCACUACCAGACACAGACUGUUCCUCCUUGAGCUGGAAGAGAAGGAUAAGAAUUAGCUAAAAAAGAAGAUAAACCUAUUAUUCCAGAAAUCCGACGGCUUCUGAAUUCUGAUAGUGGGUAAUGGGUUUUCCUGGAGACUUCAGAAGUCCAGAUAAAGGGAUGAAGACAAUGUUUCAUAUGCAGAACUGAAACCACUCAAGAAAGGACUAAAUUCAGACAAUUGAACAUUGUUCCGCUUGACUUAAAUGGACUAGAAAUGGAGGACAGUCAAAAAACAUAAUAUGAGAUUUACAGCUAUCAUACCAACAUUCCACCAAGAAAUCAGAUUAUCUUUGGAUUAAAUUAUUGGUCCAUCUGACAUCUUUGGAGAGCUGCAACAGGAAGAAUAAUAUCUACUACCAGUAUCAGUGCCAUCAGCCCUUGAGUCAUCAAUGCUUCCUGUAUGACUUGUACCCCCUGUGUCACUUGGCCAUGCACUGAUCCCAAAAUUACCAAA